rnacentral:rRNA from 1 species
CUUGACACUGAACAUUGAGCCUUGAUGUGUAGGAUAGGUGGGAGGCUUUGAAGCGUGGACGCCAGUCUGCGUGGAGCCGACCUUGAAAUACCACCCUUUAAUGUUUGAUGUUCUAACGUUGGCCCCUUACCGGGGUUGCGGACAGUGUCUGGUGGGUAGUUUGACUGGGGCGGUCUCCUCCCAAAGCGUAACGGAGGAGCACGAAGGUUAGCUAAUCCUGGUCGGACAUCAGGAGGUUAGUGCAAUGGCAUAAGC